rfam:Gossypium raimondii Chr07_contig_1252, whole genome shotgun sequence.
AAUAAUCACAAAAUUUAAAUAUCUCUGUAAAGUCGUAAAGACCAUGUAUGGGGGUUGACACCUACCCAGUGCCGGAAGGUCAAGAAAGUUGGUGACUUGAUGGCAGAGGAGUCGGCGACCGAAGCCCCGGUGAACGGCGGCCGUAACUAUAACGGUCCUAAGGUAGCAAAAUUUCUUGUCAAGUAAGUUCUGACCCGCACAAAAGGCGUAA